ensembl:ncRNA F31E3.8 ncRNA
AGGACAAGCUGGUUGGAAAGAAAAAUACAAAAAAGUCGAUGGUCUAACAGAAUAACCAGAACGAGAUUGAUCGGGAAUUCGAUUGAGAAGAAAGCAAGAUUGUGUGAUGGUAGAUGGGAUGAUUGGUUGAGAUU